GUUACGCUGGCGGCGUGCCUAAUACAUGCAAGUCGAGCGGACCGACGGGAGCUUGCUCCCUUAGGUCAGCGGCGGACGGGUGAGUAACACGUGGGUAACCUGCCUGUAAGACUGGGAUAACUCCGGGAAACCGGGGCUAAUACCGGAUGCUUGAUUGAACCGCAUGGUUCAAUCAUAAAAGGUGGCUUUUAGCUACCACUUNCAGAUGGACCCGCGGCGCAUUAGCUAGUUGGUGAGGUAACGGCUCACCAAGGCGACGAUGCGUAGCCGACCUGAGAGGGUGAUCGGCCACACUGGGACUGAGACACGGCCCAGACUCCUACGGGAGGCAGCAGUAGGGAAUCUUCCGCAAUGGACGAAAGUUGACGGAGCAACGCCGCGUGAGUGAUGAAGGUUUUCGGAUCGUAAAACUCUGUUGUUAGGGAAGAACAAGUACCGUUCGAAUAGGGCGGRACCUUGACGGUACCUAACCAGAAAGCCACGGCUAACUACGUGCCAGCAGCCGCGGUAAUACGUAGGUGGCAAAGCGUUGUCCGGAAUUAUUUGGGCGUAAAAGCGCGCCGCCAGGCCGGUUUUCUUUAAAGUCUGA
rnacentral:rRNA from 1 species